UACGUAGGGUGCAAGCGUUAAUCGGAAUUACUGGGCGUAAAGCGAGCGCAGGCGGUUAUUUAAGUCAGGUGUGAAAGCCCCGAGCUCAACUUGGGACGUGCAUUUGAAACUGGAUAACUAGAGUGUGUCAGAGGGGGGUAGAAUUCCACGUGUAGCAGUGAAAUGCGUAGAGAUGUGGAGGAAUACCGAUGGCGAAGGCAGCCCCCCUGGGAUAACACUGACGCUCAUGCUCGAAAGCGUGGGUAGCAAACAGG
rnacentral:rRNA from 1 species